rnacentral:lncRNA from 1 species
CUCGCCUUCCCAAGGCACCAAAGGGCCUUUUGGUUCCUUGCUCCCUUUUCAUUGCCUUGUUUCUGCUCUCUCCCUCAGGUUUCCUUGCUGAGCUUUCACUGUGAAGCCAAAUCUGCACUGUUUGGUGUCUGCAGCUUCGUUUCUGGGUCCAGGCAACGGGAUGGAGAAAGGAUGGGGGUGAUCCAACAGCCGGCAUGGAAGGCAUGGAGGUGCUGCCUGGCUCCACGUUACCCACAUGAAAUGCCAAAUUCCCACCCAAUCCAAAGGAAAAGAAAAGCCACCGAGAGCAGCUGUCCCCAGCAGUGCCCUAUCACUGCCUGAGCCUGCUGUGCUCAUUGUCGCUCCGUGUGGGCUCAGCACAGGGGACUCACUGUUGUGAACCACGCAGAGUUGCAGAUCACAAAUAACUGCAUAAUAAACAGACGUAAACAGCCGUUUGGUUCAUGGCUGAUAAACUCUCAUGGUCCAUUUUAUCGCUGUGCAUGCAGAGGAAGGAGGGCUUGGGAAGGGGGAUGCUGCCCUGCCAGAGGCUGGGUGCCAUCCUGCCCCGUGUGCUGGUGAGCUCCCUGCCCUGGGUCUUCAUGGGGCAGGAUAUCGAGGAUGAAGACCUCGAAUCGAAGGAUCCCCUGAUCCUUAUGUAGGACCAGGUUGGAUAUUAGGAAAAAUUUCUCUCAGAAAGAGUGGUCAGGCAUUGGAACAGGCUGCCCAGGGAGGUGGUGG